rnacentral:rRNA from 2 species
GAACGCUGGCGGCACGCUUAACACAUGCAAGUCGAACGAGAUCUUCGGAUCUAGUGGCAGACGGGUGAGUAACGCGUGGGAACCUGCCCUUUAGUAGAGAAUAACUCGGGGAAACUCGAGCUAAUACUUUAUACGCCCUUCGGGGGAAAGCUUUAUGCGCUAUUGGAUGGGCCCGCGUUAGAUUAGUUUGUUGGUGAGGUAACGGCUCACCAAGGCUACGAUCUAUAGCUGGUCUGAGAGGAUGAUCAGCCACACUGGGACUGAGACACGGCCCAGACUCCUACGGGAGGCAGCAGUGGGGAAUAUUGGACAAUGGGGGCAACCCUGAUCCAGCGAUGCCGCGUGAGUGAUGAAGGCCCUAGGGUUGUAAAGCUCUUUUGUCAGGGAAGAUAAUGACGGUACCUGAAGAAUAAGAUCCGG